rfam:Asian citrus Psyllid, Diaphorina citri - Florida Strain, whole genome shotgun sequence.
GACGUGACGAUGGUACGUUGAAUACACCACUUCCAAGUGGAUCACCUAAGCAACGUUGCGCGUGGUUAGUAUCCGACUGGGUGACCAUCUGAAAAAUCACGUGCUGCUGGCU